AUAUCAAGCAAAUCACUCACUGUUUCAAUUCCAUUACUAUUUAUUUCCUCCUUGUUUUUCUUCUUUGUAUCUUCAUGUUCCUUCAUGAUCCUCUCUAUUAUAACAUCAUACCUAUUUCUAAGAUUCUCUAGCCUUUUACCAAACCCUUGCAAAUCAAGCUUCUUAACAAACCAUAACAUAUCUCCCAAAUUGAACUUACCACCUAACACAGCCAUUUCUUUCACAAGCUCAAUCAAUUGAUGUCCUUCACCUUCAACAUCACUGCACCUUCUUUUCAAAGCCAUCCUUGUUAUGAUGUUAUUAGAAAGCAUAGUAAGUUCUUCCCCUACAUUAACCUCUUUUCUCAAGUCAGCUUUCUCCAUCAUGCCCUUUAAGAAUAACGUUAUUUCUUCAGCUCUAAUAGGAAGGUAUUGAUGAAGUAUGCGUCCGCCGAGAAGUUCGGUCAUGCAAAGCUUUUUCAUGAACUUCCAAUAAGUUCCAUAAGGAGCCAAGGCAAAAUCUGAUGAACCAUAUGUGAUGUAUUCCAAAUUGCUUUGUUUUGGUCGGUUUAAGAAACAAGUUUCGUUUGUUUUGAGGCAUUGUUUUGCCAUUUCCGGGGAAGAAACAAGAACACAAGGUUUGGAACCAAACAGAAGGUAGACCAAAGGGCCAUAACGUGAUGAGAUGUUGUGAAAUGCUUGGUGAGGGAGUUUGGUUAGAAGGUAAAGGUGUCCUAGAAUGGGUAAGGCGCGAGGGCUUGGUGGAAGGAGUGAUUUUUGGUGGAACUUGAUGGUGAAGAUCAAUCUUAGCAAGAGGAUUGAAGCUAGAAAAAUAAGGAGGAGUGCAAAAUAGUCACUAAAAUCAACCAUGAUUAAGGUUCAAAGUUAUGAUCACUAACUAUGAACAACAACACUAAAGCCUUUCUUU
rnacentral:lncRNA from 1 species